GGUCCAGAGGACCAGCGAACCGCCCUCCGGCGUGCUGGUCCGGCAACCGCGCGACGCGCACGGUGCUCCCGGAGGAAGACCCGCCCCCACACCCGUGGGGGAAGAGCGAGCA
rnacentral:ncRNA from 2 species